UCCCAUCUUGCUUUGUCCUUUUUAUAUAGCCGCCGCAAUUCAAGUCAAAAAGCAGAGACGUCUGGAGCAAUUUCAGCUAAUAGAAGCUAUUUCCUUUGGAGUUUUAAUCCAAUGCUUCGGGUUCACGUGGACCACGGUCCGGCUUUCGAUUUCGUCCUCCUUCUAAGGCGUGGCCACGCUCUGAAAUGAAAAGUCUUCUGGAAAUUUUUCCCCGCGAUAUCUUUUUAAUGCUAACCACCUACA
rnacentral:lncRNA from 1 species